rnacentral:rRNA from 1 species
UACGGGGGGGGCAAGCGUUGUUCGGAAUUACUGGCGUAAAGGGCUCGUAGGCGGCCAACUAAGUCAGACGUGAAAUCCCUCGGCUUAACCGGGGGAACUGCGUCUGAUACUGGAUGGCUUGAAUCCGGGAGAGGGAUGCGGAAUUCCAGGUGUAGCGGUGAAAUGCGUAGAUAUCUGGAGGAAUACCGACGGCGAAGGCAGCUUACUGGGCAUUAUCUGACGCUGAGGCGCGAAAGCGUGGGUAGCAAACAGG